rnacentral:lncRNA from 1 species
CCAAAAGUGGUUGCAACUUGAAACAUCAUGUUCAGGCCUCCUCGAAGGUGGGUUGGCGCCAUCUCAGACAAAUAGAGCGGGAUAGCCUUCAAAAAGGUAUAACUGGAUUGUUAUCAAACAUACUUUUUUUCCUGUAGAAUUUGAUGAGCCUACGUUAACAUUCACAUAAUUAAUAUUGACAGUCACUUUUCAAAGCUACAUUUGAUACUUUGGUUAACUAGACUUUAGAGUUUGGUUUUACAGACAAAAGGUUGCUCAAUUGUUCCUUUUAUUAAUAAACCAAUGUUUUACAUCAACAUAAAAAAUUGUUUAUAUUUUUGCUCUGUAAUGGAUCAAAGAUUAUUGAAAAGAAAUGCUGCUACCUGAUUUCCAAAUCCAAUGCCAACACCUUGCAAAAUCCUUCCUAUGAUGAGCAUUUCCAGAUUAACAGCUGCAGCAUUCAGAGCUGAGCCAAUGAGAAAGCUGAUACCACCGACUAUGAUACUUGUUCUUCGUCCAAACUUCCUUGUAACUGGAGCUGCGACCAGAGAUGCAACAAAACCAGCAAUGUAUAAAGUAGAGGUAAAUGCAGCAAUGCCCUGAUUGUUAUACUUGCAGUAGUUGUUUUCAUGUGCUUGCAUUUUAUGUUUGUACACUGAGGGGAAAAAUAUCUGAAGAAAGUCAUCCAUGGAAGCAACUCCUCCUGUUAACCAUGGCACGUGCGUCAACUUUAUGAUAAAUGACUAUGAUGAUGAAGGUUAUGCUUAUUUACAUAUUCUGAUAAAGAAAAUGAUGAAUAUGAUCCAUCAGAAAAAUAAAUAAAAAGCUUAAUUUGGGGGUCACAUUGAUAAUCUUGACCUAGUUAUAUUUAUUUUUUAUGUGAGUGAUAAAGUGGUUCUAACAAUUAGUCAGAAUAAAAAGGUGGUUCUAACUUCAAUGAUUUAGUCUACCGCAAGCUAUCCAUUCUGAAUUGAUUAAUAUCGAAUAUUUCUUUAAAUAAGAUUAAAUGUUAGCUCAUAAUAGUAGUAGAUCGUACGCCAUGUUCCAAAAGGUUAUUAAAAUAAUUUGUUAUCUUUGUUGGAGGGCAAGUGUCGGGUGGUAAUAAGACAUACGACAUUAUCAUACAGAUGACAUAAGUAAAUUAGAUCUAGGACAUCAGAAUCAAAAUUAAAUACUAAGCAACAAUGAGUUUAACAAGUGGAUGUAUUUAUUAAUUUGAAAUUUAGAUUAAAUUUAUUAACUUUUUUUAAGUCACUUUGUUAUAUUUCAUUUGGAGGGGAGGAUCAUGCAAUUUGAUGCGGGAUUUGUCACUUAACCAUUACAUAUGAGCAUUUGAAAUUAUUUGAAGAAAAAAAUGUCCAAGUUGAAAUUGUACUUAUGAGAAAAUACUUGGGAAUUGCAUCUUAGAAUUAUAGGGGAGAGGGCUUUAAGCACUUCAGCGAGACUUUAGAGUAAUCACGAGAUUGGCACUUUUUUUGGUUUUAAUGGAAUAGGAUCUUAGUGAUUCGGAUUUGACUGAAAAAUAAAUAAAUUUUUAUAAAAAUUGUUGCAGAUUCAAAAUUAGACUCUUAUGAAUGAUUUGUUUAUAGUUACAUACAAUAAAAAUCAUUCAUAAAUAAAUAUUAGUAUAUUCAUUUUAAAAUUUUAUUGUAGGAUUUAUUUUAUAUAUAAUACCAAUUAAUUAUAAUUAUUAGAUUAUUAAAAAUAAUUGAUUUUUAUUAUAAUUAUUUUAAAAUUGUGUUUAUGAAUUAUUAUAAUGUAUUAACACAGUAAAAAGAGAAGAAUGUUUAUUAUUUAAAAAAAAACUGAGUUUCUAUUUAAAUCAAUUGAGUUAUUUUCUUUAUCAAAAUAUGCAUUUAGUUGAAACGUGGGAUUAAGUACUACUAUAUCCAUGCAUCUUUCCUUGUUUUUAAUUCAAGCACCGUAUCUUUCCUUUUUUUAACUCUAGCCAUGUAUCUUUCCUGUUUUUUUUUUACUCCCAUGUAUCUUUCCUAGGUCUCUUUUUUUGUGUUUUUCCUCUAGUUUGCUGUUUUUCUCUCUCCCACUAAUUGUCUUUCCCAGUUGUUUUUUUUGUUUUGUUGUGAAAAGGCAUCUUUCCCACUAGGCCACUUGUUCCCUCACGAGAACUAUUCAUCUUCCUUCUCCAUAUGUCUUUAUCUUUUAUGUGUAAACUGCAAAUUCCAUAAGAACCGGUGUUAACCAAACCGGUUUAUAAGAACCGAUUCACGGUUCAAUCGGUUCAAGGAGGGAGAAGCAAAUCAUGCGACUAGUAAACUUAAGAUAUGACAGAUUGAAAAUGUUGGAAACAUACAUAUAGACAUGAAAUUAAUAUUAAUAACACUCGAUCGGAAAAACGAGAUUCGUUUAUAAACUCAGAAAAUUGAAAUACAUGAUAGCUAGCAAGAUUUAGGAUUAAGAAGAGAACCUGAAAUUCCAACGUCAUAGCCGAAGAGGGACCCGCCAGUAGCAGCAACAAUGCAAGCGAUGAUGACAUGAACUGUGACCCUCCCUUUAUAUUGUUCUGCUCUUCCGUUAGUACUGCUACCCACACCACCAAGAAUGGAAGGUCCAUCUUCCAUUUCCUUAUAACAGGAGGCAUGUAAGGGAUAAUAAUACUUUAUUAUUGAUGUUGUAAAACAUACAUCACUUCAAUCUCACCUUCAAUUUUAUUAUAUACACAACUUGUAAAGUAAGUAGUAAAUAAACUAGGGUACCAACCUAUACUUUGCUCCGUGAUUAUUUUAUGAAAAUAGUGCCUCAACUUUUUUGACCUAAUCUCUGUUUAAUUAUUAUGCAUUAUUGCUUCCCGCACUCAACGUUCAAAACACGCAGCUCCUUUUCAACUGUAUCAAAGUUCAAAACUACUUCUAAUCUCACAUAUACAUCUAAGCAAGGGAAAAGCUGUUCAAUGGCCUAAAAUAGAUAUAAAUUUGUAUCAUUUUUAGUAUACUAAUUUCAUUUAAUUAAUGAUCCUUUAAGAAAUUAGUUGCACAUUUAUUAGGAGUUAGUUACAACUGGCUUAAAAGUUAGAUAAUUGAUUGUCAAUAGACAAUUUGGUCAUUAGUUUACUAGGUUUCCCAAACUUUUAUAUAGAUUUUUUUUAGUUUCAAAAUACGGUUUAAAAUAAUUUUUAAUUAUAUUAUUGAGUUAAGUCGUACAAUAAUUUUUUUUUUAAGCUGUGGUAUUGUUUAAAAUUGGACAAACAAACUAUCAAUUACGACAUCUUUAAAAUAAAACAGCUCAGUUACGAAAGUAGUUCAGAAGUGUAGAGAUAAAAAAUUUUUAGAAAUUGCAUCUAAUAUUAUUGUGAUUUUAUUGAGAAUUUGACACUUUUUAUAUAGUAAUAGAAUAUAUUUAAUGAGAAACUUAUCUAUAGAUUUAUAAGUUAACAGAUAUAUUAAAAAAAUUCGAUUAUAAAAUUUUGUAUAUUUUUCUAAUUCACAUUUAAAUUCUACAAAUAUUUUAUCAUGUAUUUAUUUGAUAUCUUUUUUAGUCAAUUAAUAUGAACUCUAGAGUUUUUUUUUUUCUAUCAAACUCUGAAACUUAUUUUUCCAUGAGAAAUUUUUAUAUCUCUUUGAUACUGUGAUUUUAACACCCUUCAAUUAAUUUAAAUUUACUAUCCUUUUUAGUCUAUUAAUAUAAACUCUAGAACAAAUUUUGAUUAAGGAUUGAUGGCAUUCAACAUGACCCAGCUUGUUUUAACAUGUAUUGUAGCUAUAAAUAAUUUAUACUAACAACGAUUGUAAUCCGUUAAUUAUGUGAUUAUUUAAUGUUGACACUUAAAAUCAUAAUGUGAAAUAAUAUAAUAAUUCUUGUUAGCACGUCUUUUUCUCAAUUUUUUAAGGUAGAGAUUUGAUCAAAAUGAUGAUGAUUGCCUAAGACUUUGUGGUGCAUAGUUGAGCAUAGGCUAGGUAGAUGGCUAAUCUGAUACUAUAGAUCACUCAGUGGACUUUACUUCUGUUCUGCACCAUUCAGUGGAAUACUGCUAUUUUCAUUAACCAGAUCCCCAACAUAUCACAUUUUUUCCUUACAUGACUGUCCUAUUUACAGUAUGUACUAAGUUACAGUAUAGUUGAGCGUUUAACUGCAGAUCAGUGUGAACUCAGUCGUGCCCUUAAAUAUUUCUUUUUUCUUUUUCUGCAAAAAUCUUUUUGUUUAAACUCAUCUGUUCCAUCUCACCAUUUUCUUUUCCAUUUCUUUGUAAUGUAUUAUUAUAUUAUAU